rnacentral:rRNA from 1 species
CAGCGCCACGAGUGGCAAUCAUGUUUACUUGGCCUAAAGCGUCCGUAGCCGGUUAAAUAAAUCUUUUGUGAAAUUGUUGGGCUUAACCCAACAUCGUGCAGAAGACACUAUUCAACUUGGGACCGGGAGGAGUCAGAGGUAUUCUUUGGGGAGCGGUAAAAUGCUAUAAUCCUUAGAAGACCACCUGUGGCGAAGGCGUCUGACCAGAACGGAUCCGACGGUGAGGGACGAAAGCUAGGGGAGCGAACCGGAUUAGAUACCCGAGUAGUCC